UGACUUUAUAGCUCCUUCUUCUAAUUCCAUGAACGAAUUCAGGAAUAUUCCUUCCGCUAAUGAGUACUUCUUCAUCUGGUGAAGAACCCACUUGUAAGCAUCGUUCUUUCGGUCUUGAACAGGGUCAAGCAAGUACUUCCCAUGGAUCGGUAUGCACCCGGGAAUCUUUACCGGUUCAGUCAAUUCUCUGUACUCGCACGACACCAUCUCAUCCAGCUUUGGCAUGUGUAGGAACAAGGACAAAACCAUAGCCGUAGAUGGGAAGAAAAUGUACGGCGAGAUGUUGAAAUCUUUGGCUGCGUCGAACACGUCCGCUCCAAAGAGAUCAACGACCACGGCCACCACCGACUUGGUUGCAAUCAUCGACUUGAAGGAGUCGCG
rnacentral:lncRNA from 1 species